rnacentral:rRNA from 1 species
CGACCUCGGAUCAGNCGUGAUUACCCGCUNAACUUGGGCAGAUCACUAAG